CCUGAUCCCGCUAACAUGUCUGCUGUGUGACCUUGGGUGACUCUGACAGUGAAGGCCUUUCUGAACAAACAUGCGAGAAGGCCGUGACAAGUGUCUCUGAGAGAAAGUAUCUGAUGUGCCAGAAAGAUCCUGUCUGCUGUGAUGUGUUGUGCUCUGAUGCUGCUCUGUAAUUCCAAGAAUGGGCCUGCUUAAUGAUACCCAUUAAAUGGCUAUCGAGAGAUGAGGUAACUGAGGCACAUAGAAAUGAUUUGCCCAAGG